UACAGAGGGGGCUAGCGUUGCUCGGAAUCACUGGGCGUAAAGGGUGCGUAGGCGGGUCUUUUAAGUCAGGGGUGAAAUCCUGGAGCUCAACUCCAGAACUGCCUUUGAUACUGAGGAUCUUGAGUCCGGGAGAGGUGAGUGGAACUGCGAGUGUAGAGGUGAAAUUCGUAGAUAUUCGCAAGAACACCAGUGGCGAAGGCGGCUCACUGGCCCGGUACUGCGACGACGU
rnacentral:rRNA from 1 species